GUAGGUGAACCUGCGGAAGGAUCAUUACAAAUCGAGGGUUUGUUGGUAUGAAAAUAUCAGUGACCCACAAUUGCUCGGUGCAAGCAGCAAUGCCAUGCAUCGUUUCGCGCUUGUAUGUUUGUCAUAGUAAUGUUGCCAUAUUAAAGAGACAACUUUUAACAAUGGAUCUCUUGGCUCUUGCAUCGAUGAAGAACGCAGCAUCUGACUGACUCGACAGCUG
rnacentral:misc_RNA from 1 species